rnacentral:rRNA from 1 species
UACGAAGGUGGCAAGCGUUACUCGGAAUUACUAGGCGUAAAGGGCAGGUAGGUGGUUUGGUAAGUCUGUUGUGAAAGCUCCUGGCUUAACUGGGAGAGGUCAACGGAUACUGCUGAACUUGAGUAUAGGAGAGGUUACUGGAAUUCCCGGUGUAGCGGUGAAAUGCGCAGAGAUCGGGAGGAACACCAAUGGCGAAAGCAGGUAACUGGACUAUUACUGACACUCAGCUGCGAAAGCUAGGGGAGCAAACAGG